UUUCUCCCCUCUUAGGUCUGUCUGGGAAAGUCAGUGUUGUUUUCUGUCUGAGGAUAAUUAACCCACUGGGUCUUGAAUUUCCUAGAUGGGGGUCCACGAACAGCUCCUCUUUAGUUUGUGCUUACUGGGUACCAUACAGGCGUGGGCUAAUUCACCCUGUGACUCUGGAUCACUCAUUUACUUCUCACAUCAGCCUUCUGACACAGGUGGUGUUCUUCCAGUCUCACAGCUGCCAGAAUUGGUUCCGUCUUCCCAUUCCCCCAGGGAAAGAGUGAGAAUGUGGCAGUGUCAAAAAAUCAUGGUGGUGGAGUUCCUACCGUGGCUCAGCAGUAAUGAACCAGGCUAGUAUCCUUGAAGACGCUGGUUCGAUCCCUGGCCUCGCUCAGUGGGUUAAGGAUCUGAAGUUACCAUCAACUGUGGUGUAAGUCGCAG
rnacentral:lncRNA from 1 species